ACCUCUCACCGUCCCUCCAGUUUAACUGCUAUAUUUCCUAGGCAUUUGCACUAUUAAUUGUGCCAUUACAGUCAUUCAUUCUUCUCACUUCAGAGAAGAAAUGGCCCGACAAUAAAGCUGAAAGUCAAACUCGUUGCAUGUAACUUACAGUGUGACCAAAAGGCGUUGUACUGAGAAAUACGGGUACCUGAGCAGCAGGAAGUCACUGGGCACUCAGGUUUUGUUGUUCUGACUGCUCCAUUUGCGGCACCAAAACGCCAUCAUACCUCACGCUGAGAUGCGGGUGGUUCUUAUAAACUGUUUCUUUAACUGGUAAGGUUCAGAUAUUCAGAUUGAUUCCCUGCCAGCAACCAAGACACGCUUCUCUUCAGGUCUCCAAAAUGACCAAAUUCACCAAGGCCACAGCUCGCUGCCAUUUCCUCAGGUUCAUGGUGACUCCCACUGUCACCACAGCUGCGCAGACCUGACUACAGACCUGCAAGCGGAAGGAAAACCCGGCAUGCCUCUGGAAAUCACCCCCGUGAUUCACCGUGUGACAUUCCUCUGAGUAAGCACCAAGCUCAUGCCCAGCUUGAAGAUCGUUGUGGUUUAUGAAAUACAAAUACAUAAUGUACAUCCAAGACCACGAGUCAUGUCUGCAAUGUUCUCUGCAGCAUCUAUGUUGGUAUUUGCCAGCCAUGAAUUCCCCACCACCCUCAGUGAACAAUUAGGCUGAUGAUUACAGCUGCUGUGAGUCAUUUUGUCAGUUUGAGUGCUAAAGGUCUGUGGGAUGGAUUGAACGAUUCCAUUCCUACUAAUGAUCCAUGUGGGUGUGAACAUGCCACGUGAUGGAACGUCUGUGGUUUUGAGUCUUGGAAAUUACAGACAAGGCAUAGUUUGUAGUUAAAAGCAGUAUCUUCUAUCAGACCAACUGGCAGUCAGAAAAAGAUGUGACUUGAAGAGGGUAUCUGCAGAGAACCACAGACUCAUAAAAAUAAUGGGUUUGGAAGGGACCUCAAGUAGUCUGUAGUCCAGCCUCCUGCUCAAAGCUUGGCCAGCUGUGGGACCAGAUCUGGCUGAUCAGUGCUUUAUCCAGGUUAGUCUUGAAAGCCUUGAAGUCCCUUGCAGAAUUGUGUAAUCCAAAAUUAGGAGAUAGAUUGAUUUGUCCCAUUGUGUGUAUGGAUGUCGAUACUGCCUCUAACUAUAAAGUUAGAUGCAAUUCCCUUCACAAGCACCCCUGCUUCAUUCAGAUCAUAGUAUGGAUGUAUAUGUAGUAGGGGAACCUAAGGAGGCACACUGGCUAAAGUUAUUUUCAACAGCUUUUAUUCCAGAAGUUAGAUGACAUGUACUCAUUAAGGAAGGCGGACUGUAGAAGUAAAGAUUUGGUCUGACGGAUGAGAUAGGUCUGAAUUAUCAUUAGUUGUUUGUGCAGGUAAUUUGCAAGCUACUGAUGGACAAGUCUUAAACUUUCAAAUGUAUCUAGCUAAAAGAUAACUAAAAGUUUGAAACUGUUAGAUGUUCCUGGAUUUCUUCUCGAAGGCUUUAAAAGAGUGGAGUAAAAUGAGUUGUUCCACUAAGACCAAUGAACGUAUAUCUUGAUACUACAGGAAAACAUCAGGAAAUGCUAUUAGCUGGUGGAAUUCUUCUGAAUGGAAUCACACUUUGAUUUGUGUGGUUUUGAGGCUCUGUCCUGAAAGUAACAUCUUUUGGGCUUUCUAUUGAGUAAAUAUUUCAAU
rnacentral:lncRNA from 1 species